UUUAAUAAUAUUGUUAGUUUUAAUUUAAUUGUUUAUAAAAUUAUUAGAAAUUGCACAUAAUUCUGAAUAUGUGGUAUGGUCAUUAUGAUUUUUUUCAAAUGUGAAUCAUACUGUGAUUUUCCUCCUUAGAAUUACUGUAAAGAACGAAUGAAAGAACAAAAGAUCAAGAACCAAUAUCGAUAAAACUCAAAAAGUUAUUUUUUUUUAAAUUCUAUGAUAACAGGUAUGUUGUUACAAUACAUUUAACUAUUUUCAAAGUAUGUGAACGACUUUAAUUUAAUGCCAACGUUUUUAUUAAAAAAAUAGACUGUUAUCAUUUGCAAGAUCAUAUGAAUCAAAAUUUAAUAAAUGUAUAUUGAUAAAUUAUGUGUGACUUUCAUAAUAACUUUUAAAUAAAAAGCACAUCAGCAAAAUAUUUUCAGAUAUUUUGACUUCACUUGAUGAGCCAUAUUUUGAUGAUUUGAGACGUUUUCGGGAUAAUACAUGUAUCUCUAACUCCCCCCAAGUAGGCUAUUAAUAGCAAUUCAACCAAACUAAAGGGCCUGCUAUUUUUACAGUUAAAUGAGGGAAAAUGAGUGUUUGAUAGGGGAAGAUAUUGUUAUAUAAAAUGUUCCCUUUAACACGUAUGGUAUGGGUACCUUACAGUACAUAGAGCGUAGAAAUUGACCUCCAUGAGGCCGCUCAUUUAAAAUCAUUUUUACCAGAGGAAGAAACUUGCAGAUUACACAAGUUAAGUUAACAUAUUGCAUACUCCCUUUAACCAACCCCUAAAUUAAUUUAUUUUUUUCUUUUCAUUUUUCUAUUCUUUUUCUGGUUACUUGUCCGGC
rnacentral:lncRNA from 1 species